AGUGCAGUGAUAAGAGGAACAGAAACUUGUAGAUGUGACUGGUUCGUACUCUCGACUCACAGUGGUUGGCAGAAUUCAUGUAUCAAGUUCAUAAAGUCAUGAAGAGGCAUACACAGUGAAAGAAGGCACAUCUUUCAGCUGGCCUGGGAUAAGGCAGGGAGAGACUGCCGUGCGACAGAGGCAUGUCUCUUCUGCCUGGGGACCUACCCACUUGUGGUGACACCUUGCAGCUCUGCUCAGGCAACAGUCAUUUGACCUCAGACACUGUAAAGAAGAAAGAAGAGGAGGAGAAGCCCUUACAUGCUUCCCUGUUUGCAGACUAUGUUGCAGCUGGAGACUUGGGAGUUAAUCGUAGCUCUGAGCCAUGAGAUCAGAGAGACAGUGAACCCUUCGAUGCAGAUGCAACACAUCUUCUGGCAGCAUGUGAAUUACUUGCCUCAAAGCAAAAUGAAUGUAUAAGCAGCUUUAUCAAUGAUUGGGCAGGAAAUUCUUUACAAGUUUUCAUAUGAGCAUGGAGUAGCAAAUGGAAAAUAAUAUUCUGGUAAUCAGAAUUGCUCAUUUAAGGUCUAGAUGUCAUUGAUAUUGUAUUUAUUUAGCGAGUUGGGUUAUGGUUUCAUUUUACUGAAUUAAAAAAAAAC